AUUAAUACAUUUGCUGAAUAGUUAGAUUUUAUGCAUUUUCUAUGAUGGUAAUUGAGUAAGAGUGAUCAUAUGCAUUUCUACAUUAUCUUUAAGUUAUCAAUUACAACUAAAGAGUAAAAUGUAUAUCAGUAUGAAUGUAUAUUAAAACUAUAAAUCAUGAUUGAAUCAAAUGUAGUAGUUUAAAUAUGUUAUGUGUGAAUGUCAGAGUGUUCGAGUAGUAUUCAGCUAUUUUUACUUUUUAUGAUUUCCUUGUGUGAAUAAGUAAUGUAACAUUAGUUUCACACAAGUAUUUGAUAUUUCAUUAUUUCUAUAUAGAUUUAUUACCAGCAUAUAGAAUAUUCUGGACCUGACCAGAAAUUUGGCUCUGUGUCACACAUAGAGUUAAUUAGAAAAGAAUACAAACUCUGAUAGAACCCUA